GACGAACGCUGGCGGCGUGCUUAACACAUGCAAGUCGAACGAAGAGCGAUGGAAGCUUGCUUCUAUCAAUCUUUGUGGCGAACGGGUGAGUAACACGUAAUCAACCUGCCCUUCAGAGGGGGACAACAGUUGGAAACGACUGCUAAUACCGCAUACGAUCUAACCUCGGCAUCGAGGAAAGAUGAAAGGUGGCCUCUAUUUAUAAGCUAUCACUGAAGGAGGGGAUUGCGUCUGAUUAGCUAGUUGGAGGGGUAACGGCCCACCAAGGCGAUGAUCAGUAGCCGGUCUGAGAGGAUGAACGGCCACAUUGGGACUGAGACACGGCCCAGACUCCUACGGGAGGCAGCAGUGGGGAAUCUUCCGCAAUGGACGAAAGUCUGACGGAGCAACGCCGCGUGAGUGAUGACCGGCUUCGGGUUGUAAAGCUCUGUUAAUCGGGACGAAAGGCCUUUCUUGCGAAUAGUUAGAAGGAUUGACGUACCGGAAUA
rnacentral:rRNA from 1 species